CAUCGAUGGGCACCUUGUCAGUGUUCCCCACCCUCCCCCUUGCCUCAGCCCCUUGGAUGUCACUCUCCAUCCUCCUGUUUCUUCGCCCUCAGGGAGCAGAUGUUCAUGCACAUGCUCGCUUCCUCAGCCAGCGAGAGGUCGUGUGUGCAUGUGUGCGUCUCAGUGCGUGUUUGUGUGUGUUCAUGGUGUGUUCACGUGUGUGAGGCAGCGAGCAAGCUGGGCCCUGUGGACUUGAGUGCUGCAGGCCCCCAGGCCGGGGCCACCCUGCUUCUCUGCUCUUCGUGACUCUCAGUGCUGGACAGAAAGACCACGCCGCCUGGACACUGCCAGCUGGAGGCCUUGGGCCUUGUCCCCACGGUCCAGUCUGCGGCCGUGAGGUGAUAGGCCUGUGCAGCUGGGACCUACCUGGGCAAAGGCCCAGCCGAAAGACCAAAGGCAAGGGCUUGGGGCAGCAGACUGGAGCAGGCUGUCAGGAAGCCGGCUGUUCUCCAGAUUCCUGUGUGUGCCCUGGCCCGCAACCCCACUCGGGAGGCCAUGGACUCUGCGAGGAAGUCUUGGCCAGAGGAGAGCUGAGAACCACUGUGGGCCUGAACCCGAGUUCUGUCACACAUGCCACCCAAGCCCUCUGGAGCUGGAGUCCAGAUGAACAGCUGUUGCCACUGGGACCGAGGCUGGGAAGGCGGGUCUUCUCAGCAUGGGCCUGUGGGUGGGCCAGGGGCGAUGUUCUGGGCGGCUCUGGUUCCGGGCCAUGCCGCUGGGCUUUGGGCUGAGCUGCCGAGCCUGCAGCAGGGAUGCUGUUCCCCUCCGAGGAAGUUUUUUAAAGGUGAUUCCCAAGUCCCCACCCAUCUCUGAUGAGGUGAUUCAGAUGCUUUAGUAGGGAGUUGGUGGGUGCUGCGCCUUGGUUUUAGCUCCUUUCAAGGGGGUGGGGCCUCGAAUCGCAGGUCCAGUCCUGGUGGGGAGUCCUGUGGGGGGAGCAGGAUCUGAAUGUGGGAAGUCUGAGUAGGAGAAAUAAAGGAAUUGUACCCAGACAACC